rnacentral:rRNA from 1 species
AGCUAGCCUUUACAUCAAUUCAAUUAAACCUUAUAAAUCUAAUAUAUACUACAAUUUUUAAUCAAAACAUUCUCAACCUUUUAGUAUGGGUGACAGAACAAUAACCCCAGCGCAAUAGUUUAUGUACCGCAAGGGAAAGCUGAAAAAGAAAUGAAAUAAACCAUUAAAGUACUAAAAAGCAGAGAUUAUACCUCGUACCUUUUGCAUCAUGAUUUAGCUAGAAAAACUAGGCAAAAAGAUCUUAAGUCUACCUCCCCGAAACUAAACGAGCUACUCCGAAGCAGCACUAUAGAGCUAACCCGUCUCUGUGGCAAAAGAGUGGGAAGACUUCCGAGUAGCGGUGAAAAGCCUACCGAGUUUAGUGAUAGCUGGUUACCCAAGAAAAGAACUUUAGUUCUGCAUUAAUUUUUCACUACCUAGACAAGACUUACUCGUCAUAGAAACCUAUAAGAAUUAAUAGUUAUUUAGAAGAGGUACAGCCCUUCUAAACAAAGAUACAACUUUUUAAGGUGGGAAAUGAUCAUAAUUAUUAAGGUUGCCAUCCCAGUGGGCCUAAAAGCAGCCACCUGUUAAGUAAGCGUCGCAGCUCUAAUCUAAUAAUUAAACCUUUAAUUCAGAUAUCCCUUCAUAACCCCCUUUAUCCUAUUGGGUUAUUUUAUAUUCCUAUAAAAGAACUUAUGCUAAAAUGAGUAAUAAAGAGAAUAAAUCUCUCCCGACACAAGUGUACGUCAGAAAGAAUUAAAUCACUGACAAUUAAACGACCCCAAACUGAGGUCAUUAUACCACUUAACCAUUUACUAGAAAAUCCUAUUCUUCUACUCGUUA